GUUUUGGAGCAUCAAAAUGAAGACGUUGUUCAAGUCUCAAGACCUCUGGGAUCUUGUGGAGAAUGGGUACGCUGAUCUUGAUGAAGAGAGUAAGCCGAGAGAAAAUAGGAGGAGGGACUCAAAGGCAUUGUUCUUCAUCUAGUAAGUUGUUCAUGAGACAGUUUUUUCAAGGAUUGCAACUACCUCUACAUCAAAGGAAGCAUGGGAAACACUAAGGAAAGAGUUUCAAGGCUCAACAAAGGUAAUUAUAGUGAAACUCCAAUAUCUUCGUCGUAAUUUUAAAACUUUAUUUAUGAAAAAUAAUGAGUCUAUGCAAGAUUUUCUAUCUAGAGUGGUAAAAAUUAUUAGUCAAAUAAGAUCUUUUGGUGAGAAACUCAAUGAUCAAACAGUUGUAGAAAAAGUUUUGAGGAGUUUGACUUCUAAAUUUGAUCAUGUCGUUGCUGCCAUUGAGGAAUCUAAGGAUCUUUCUAAUUUUUUAUUUGAUGAACUAAUGGGUUUUUUACAAGCUCAUGAAGCUAGGCUGAAUACAUCAUUUGAAAAGAGUGAAGAGAAGGCAUUUUAGGUGAAGGGUGAGGCAACUUCACAUAAUGAGGAGUUAAGAAAAGUAGCAAGUGGAGGGGGAUAUCAUGGUAGAGGCCGCUGUAGAGGCAAAAGCAAUGGCAGAUCCAAUGGGCAAGCCUAUUAGGGGCAAUCUUCCAGUGAACAACAAGGCUAUAAAAGUGGUAUUCAGUGCCACUAUUGCAAGAAGUUUGGGCAUGUGAAGGUAGAAUGCUGGAAGCUUAAGUUAUGUUAAGGAAGACGAAGAAGAAGACAAGUUGUUUAUGGCCCAUGAAGUUAAGCGCGAUGUACCAAGUGUAAGUGAAAUCUGGUUCCUGGACAGCGUGUGACACCCCUUACCCGUCUACA
rnacentral:misc_RNA from 1 species